rnacentral:rRNA from 1 species
AUUGAACGCUGGCGGCAUGCCUUACACAUGCAAGUCGAACGGUAACGGGCCUUCGGGUGCCGACGAGUGGCGAACGGGUGAGUAAUACAUCGGAACGUGCCCGAUCGUGGGGGAUAACGAGGCGAAAGCUUUGCUAAUACCGCAUACGAUCUACGGAUGAAAGCAGGGGACCGCAAGGCCUUGCGCGGACGGAGCGGCCGAUGGCGGAUUAGGUAGUUGGUGGGAUAAAGGCUUACCAAGCCGACGAUCUGUAGCUGGUCUGAGAGGAUGAUCAGCCACACUGGGACUGAGACACGGCCCAGACUCCUACGGGAGGCAGCAGUGGGGAAUUUUGGACAAAGGGCGCAAGCCUGAUCCAGCCAUGCCGCGUGCAGGAUGAAGGCCUUCGGGUUGUAAACUGCUUUUGUACGGAACGAAAAGCCUUCUUUUAAUACAGGAGGGUCAUGACGGUACCGUAAGAAUAAGCACCGGCUAACUACGUG